rnacentral:rRNA from 1 species
GACGAACGCUGGCGGCUUGCUUAACACAUGCAAGUCGAACGGAAAGGCCCUGCUUUUGUGGGGUGCUCGAGUGGCGAACGGGUGAGUAACACGUGAGUAACCUGCCCUUGACUUUGGGAUAACUUCAGGAAACUGGGGCUAAUACCGGAUAGGAUCUCCUGCUGCAUGGUGGGGGUUGGAAAGUUUCGGCGGUUGGGGAUGGACUCGCGGCUUAUCAGCUUGUUGGUGGGGUAGUGACUUACCAAGGCUUUGACGGGUAGCCGGCCUGAGAGGGUGACCGGAUACAUUGGGACUGAGAUAGGACCAAGACUCUAACGGGAAGCAGCAGUAGGGAAAAUGGAAUGAAUGGCGGAAGCCGGAUGAAGCAAAGAAGCGAGAGGGAUAACGGCAUUCGGGUUGUAAACCGCUUUAGCAUGUGAAGAAGCGUGAGAGACGGUAAUGGGUAAAGAAGCACCGGCUAACUACGUG